GACGAACGCUGGCGGCGUGCUUAACACAUGCAGGUCGAACGAUGAAGAAAAGAAUUGAAGCUUCGGCAGAAAUUCAUUUCGGAUUAGUGGCAGACGGGUGAGUAACGCGUGAGCAACCUACCUCUUACAAAGGGAUAGCCUCGGGAAACCGGGAUUAAUACCAUAUAACAUUGCGACGAAGCAUUUCGAUGCAAUCAAAGCUACGGCGGUAAGAGAUGGGCUCGCGUCCCAUUAACCAGAUGGUGAGGUAACGGCUCACCAUAGUAACGAUGGGUAACCGGCCUGAGAGGGUGAAUGGUCACACUGGAACUGAGACACGGUCCAGACUCCUACGGGAGGCAGCAGUGGGGAAUAUUGCACAAUGGAGGGAACUCUGAUGCAGCGACGCCGCGUGAGUGAUGAAGGAAUUCGUUUCGUAAAACUCUGUUCUAUGGGAAGAAAAGGACUGUACCAUAGGAGAAAGCUCCGGCUAAAUACGUG
rnacentral:rRNA from 1 species